rnacentral:tRNA from 1 species
GGCCCUUUAGCUCAGCGGUUAGAGUGUGCAGCUCAUAAUCGCCUGGUCACUGGUUCAAAUCCAGCAAGGGCCA